GACGAACGCUGGCGGCGUGCUUAACACAUGCAAGUCGAACGGCAAGGCCCUGCUUUUGUGGGGUGCUCGAGUGGCGAACGGGUGAGUAACACGUGAGUAACCUGCCCUUCACUUUGGGAUGACUUCAGGAAACUGGGGCUAAUACCGGAUAGGAGCUCCUGCUGCAUGGUGGGGGUUGGAAAGUUUCGGCGGUUGGGGAUGGACUCGCGGCUUAUCAGCUUGUUGGUGGGGUAGUGGCUUACCAAGGCUUUGACGGGUAGCCGGCCUGUGAGGGUGACCGGCCACAUUGGGACUGAGAUACGGCCCAGACUCCUACGGGAGGCAGCAGUGGGGAAUAUUGCACAAUGGGCGGAAGCCUGAUGCAGCAACGCCGCGUGCGGGAUGACGGCCUUCGGGUUGUAAACCGCUUUCGCCUGUGACGAAGCGUGAGUGACGGUAAUGGGUAAAGAAGCACCGGCUAACUACGUG
rnacentral:rRNA from 1 species